AGUGAACGCUGGCGGUAGGCCUAACACAUGCAAGUCGAACGGCAGCACAGUACGAGCUUGCUGUUCCGGAGGGGGAAUGGGGGAAGGGAGAGGAAAAUAACGGACCCUACUUUUUGGUGGGGGUUAAGGAAGGGAAACUUACGCCAAUAUCGCAUACCCCCUAGGGUGGAAGGCAGGGGAACUUUGCGCCGGUUGGGAUUGAAUUCGCGGCUUACGAAUUAGUUGGUGGGGGGGUGACUUACCAAGGAAUUGACGGGUAGGUGGCUUGAGGGGGUGACCGGCCACAGUGGGACUGAGAUACGGCCCAGACUCCUACGGGAGGCAGCAGUGGGGAAUAUUGCACAAUGGGCGGAAGCCUGAUGCAGCAACGCCGCGUGCGGGAUGACGGCCUUCGGGUUGUAAACCGCUUUCGCCUGUGACGAAGCGUGAGUGACGGUAAUGGGUAAAGAAGCACCGGCUAACUACGUG
rnacentral:rRNA from 1 species